CGGCGGUCCUGGCCCAGCGCUGCGCAUUUAUSAGUUUAAAAGGAGAUUUUCAGGUUAACCUGUCUCCGCUGCACAGUAGGGUGAGCGGGACCUGGGGUGGUGUACGCGAUCCUUUCAGGGCACCUAACAUCAGAGAAAACUGGGGGAAUGGACGCUGAAAUAUCACCUCCUGUCAAGGGCGCGAUGGGUUAUGGCUAGCCUUGCUUACGGCUCGCAUACCCUAAAAACCCGUCGUUUUUAAACCAGCUCUCGCAGGACUUCACCCCUCCCCCUGACUGUUGCCACAACUGUUGGGCCUUGCUGUCAAAAUACACGGUACAGCAAGAUACAGGAUUCUGCAUUUUGUGUUAAAUUUUUGCUCAGCUAACCAAAUAAAAACUUGAAAUAGAGGGAAAGUCCUUAAAAAUUAUUCCGUUACAUUUUGCCCAUUUUGGUCUGUUGAGCCGAAUCUUCUCAGUCUUUGCUGUUGUAAAAAGUUGGCUUAAUUUCAGGACUUGUCCGCGUUCCCAGCUUGAGACAGGUUAAGACCUUCUUUUUGUGCGUGCUCCCAGAACUGCCCAGAGCUCACAGAAUUGCUGCCCUGGUGACCGAACGCUCAGAGGACUCUCCACCCAUCCCUUGAGCAUCCUUGUAAAAUGUAUUAUCUCCAGCUUAGGCUCUUUAAGAGUUGCUGGAUAUUAUAAGCAUUUAACACAAUAAAUUCUUUAGGAAAUCUAGUCCUAACUGUGGGAACCGAGCACUUGAAACCCUGUCCUUGUGUGUUUCCAGAAGUACAAUUGGACUUGACGGAUAUAAAGGUUUACACAGUAUCUAUUUACAGUAUCUUGGAACUUGGAACAAUUGAGUAACUUCCUCCAUGCCUCCCAAAAUGUCCCAUUUAAUUCUAAUCAUUUGCAGUUCUUAUAGCCUUGAGGAUCUCAAAGGAUUUUCAGCAUGACUCGGCUAAAGCUUACAAGAGAACUGCCUUGGGAGAUGUUUAGGAGAACAUGAUAUCCAAGAAGACUGAGCAGUCUUUGUGGGGACAGUGGAUUGGGCAACUGAAGAGAUGCAAUAGGAUUUCAGAGAAUCUCCAAAUCCCUGCAAAUCCUUCAGCUGAACAGGCUCAGCAUCCUUCCCUUCCUGAACAGUUUGAUCCAGGGAUCUAGGGUGGAUACAACCAUCUAAGAC
rnacentral:lncRNA from 1 species